CUCGCUGCUGCAGUUUGCACUGUGUAUGGCAUUGGUUAUUCUGGAUAUUACCUGGCUAACCUGGCACGUCACCUGACCCAUGUAUUCAGAGGUGCCGAUCCCAAGGGCACAGAACUAACAGCAGACUCUCCUCUGGCUCCCUCUGCUCCUGGAGAAGAGGCCAAAGAGGAGCAGAAUGACCACAACCCUCCAGCUGUGAUCACACCACAGCCUGAACUUUCCAAGACACUCCUUCUGGAGAAAGAGCAUGAGCAGAUUGCUCUAUCAGAGAUGCCG